rnacentral:ncRNA from 1 species
GCAGUGAUAACUUUGAAUGGUGCUGCAGCUUUCGAAAAGAGGCUGCGGCUGAAAAGGGAACGCGGUGAGGACGACCCAAAAGGGACCGAGACCGCGGCUGCCCCCGCAACUGUAAGCGGCGAGCACGUCUGCAUCAUGCCACUGGUGAACAACCGGGAAGGCGCAGGCCAGCAGCGACCCGCGAGCCAGGAGACCUGCCAUUCGCAUGUUCAACCG